rnacentral:rRNA from 1 species
UACGUAGGGUGCGAGCGUUAAUCGGAAUUACUGGGCGUAAAGUGUGCGCAGGUGGCUUCGCAAGUCGAGUGUGAAAUCCCCGGGCUUAACCUGGGAAUUGCGCUCGAAACUACGGAGCUGGAGUGUGGCAGAGGGAGGUGGAAUUCCACGUGUAGCGGUGAAAUGCGUAGAGAUGUGGAGGAACACCAAUGGCGAAGGCAGCCUCCUGGGCCAACACUGACACUCAUGCACGAAAGCGUGGGAGCAAACAGG